rnacentral:rRNA from 1 species
UACGUAGGGGCCUAGCGUUGUCCGGAUUUAUUGGGCGUAAAGAGCUCGUAGGCGGUUCGGUAAGUCAGGUGUGAAAUCUCCACGCUCAACGUGGAGGCGCCACCUGAAACUGCCGUGACUCGAGUCCGGUAGGGGAGUGUGGAAUUCCCGGUGUAGCGGUGAAAUGCGCAGAUAUCGGGAGGAACACCGGUGGCGAAGGCGGCCUUCUGGACAGUGACUGACGCUGAGACGCGAAAGCGUGGGGAGCAAACAGG